rnacentral:rRNA from 1 species
AGCGUAUAUUAAAGUUGUUGCAGUUAAAAAGCUCGUAGUUGGAUUUCUGUUAAUAAUUUAUAUAAAAUAUUUUGAUGAAUAUUUAUAUAAUAUUAACAUAAUUCAUAUUACUAUUUUUUUUUUUAGUAUAUGAAAUUUUACUUUGAGAAAAUUAGAGUGCUUAAAGCAGGCAUAUGCCUUGAAUACUCCAGCAUGGAAUAAUAUUAAAGAUUUUUAUCUUUUUUAUUGGUUCUAAGAUAAGAAUAAUGAUUAAUAGGGACAGUUGGGGGCAUUUGUAUUUAACAGUCAGAGGUGAAAUUCUUAGAUUUGUUAAAGACAAACUAAUGCGAAAGCAUUUGCCAAGGAUGUUUUCAUUAAUCAAGAACGAAAGUUAGGGGAUCGAAGACGAUCAGAUACCGUCGUAGUCUUAACCAUAAACUAUGCC